rnacentral:rRNA from 2 species
UACAGAGGGUGCAAGCGUUAAUCGGAAUUACUGGGCGUAAAGGGCGCGUAGGUGGUUAUUUAAGUCAGAUGUGAAAUCCCUGGGCUUAACCUAGGAAUUGCAUUUGAAACUAGAUGGCUAGAGUAUGGUAGAGGGAAGUGGAAUUUCCGGUGUAGCGGUGAAAUGCGUAGAUAUCGGAAGGAACACCAGUGGCGAAGGCGACUUCCUGGACCAUUACUGACACUGAGGCGCGAAAGCGUGGGGAGCGAAC